GUUUAAUGAAGUGAAAUUCAUCAACUUAAGUCCUAAAGGGGGUUCAUUUUCAAUGGUUUUAGACCCAACUCUCAACGGUGAAAAUAUGCGAUUCUGACUAACAUUUUUUAUCGGAUUCGUAUUUGCUCAUUUUUUAUCCAUUUGACAUGAAGGAGAUAUCACUCAACAGCUAAAAGCAUGAUCUUUCCGAAUGUGAAAAAAUCUCGUUCAUACGCAGAGUAAUUCAGAUACAAUAGCGCGCUGAAGUUCGAUUACCUUUUUUUUAUACACCCUGUAUAAUAAAGCGUUUUAUAUUGUGGAAUUGAAAUAUAGUAUUCGUGACCAUGUAAAAUCUCUGAUUACCAGUAACAGGCUAGUAACAGGCAGACUAGGCAGUAGAGAAUCUUCUGUAAUGAUGUGUAGAUAUGUAAAAAUAUUUGACAUAAAAUUGACUAAAAUAAAACAGCACCAGGAAAGGAAUUGAAUGUGUUUAAACUGACACAGCAUAUACAAUAUACAACCAAUAUAUUUAUUAUUGCAAAGCUUUCAAUGUGUAAGAUCGUCAUCAGUGCUAUUAAUAUAUGAAUUGUAUUCGUUCACUCAAUUUGCUAUUCAGCAGCACCCUAAAAAACUGCUUGACCAUACAUUUUCUGCUUUGCGAAUAGCAUAGAUUUAUAUCUAUGGCGAAUAGCGAUUAGCGGAACUUCUACUGUUAGCGCAUGUCGAUUUCUUGAAACGAUUUAAUUGAUUUGUGAGCUCACGAGAAAAUACUCAGAAUGCUUUAGUUAAAUAUCAUGGUUAAAUAUGUAAACAUGUUGAGGUUGUUAUACAGCCAUAUUUUCAAAUAUACUGUACUUUAACAAGCAAAUUCACUGUACUGUGUUACAGCAACUGUCCAGUCACGCAUACGUGAUAAAAAGUCGAUAUAAACUUUAUAAACAAAAGAUAAUGUAAAACGUAACAGAACGGCAAACAUGCAGAUUCGGCCAUCUCAAAUAAUGGUAAUGUUGGGAUAGUAGCGUUGCAGACUGCAGAGGAGAGUGGGCAGUAAGGCUCCCUCAUGCACCACCCCAUGGAAAACCUGCACCCCUCCUUGCAGAUGAGGUC